AUACCGGAUGGCAUAAUUAUUCCGCAUGGGAUAAUUAUUAAAGAAUUUCGGUUGUCGAUGGGGAUGCGUUCCAUUAGGCAGUUGGCGGGGUAACGGCCCACCAAACCUACGAUGGAUAGGGGUUCUGAGAGGAAGGUCCCCCACAUUGGAACUGAGACACGGUCCAAACUCCUACGGGAGGCAGCAGUGAGGAAUAUUGGUCAAUGGACGAGAGUCUGAACCAGCCAAGUAGCGUGAAGGAUGACUGCCCUAUGGGUUGUAAACUUCUUUUAUACGGGAAUAAAGUGAGCCACGUGUGGCUUUUUGUAUGUACCGUAUGAAUAAGGAUCGGCUAACUCCGUGCCAGCAGCCGCGGUAAUACGGAGGAUCCGAGCGUUAUCCGGAUUUAUUGGGUUUAAAGGGAGCGUAGGCGGGUUGUUAAGUCAGUUGUGAAAGUUUGCGGCUCAACCGUAAAA
rnacentral:rRNA from 1 species